rnacentral:tRNA from 1 species
AAGGCCUUGUAAUGUUUUACUAAUAUCUUAAGGGAAUGGCGGAUUGGUUAUGUAGUUGAUUUGAAAUCAAAAUAGGGGGGUUCGAUUCCU